rnacentral:snRNA from 1 species
ACAAAGCAUUGCGAUGGUCCCUGCG